rnacentral:lncRNA from 1 species
UACUCUCCUGUGGGAUUCUAGAACAACAGCUUUCACAGAGCAAUCGCCCACUGAGCUAUAUUGCACGUUGCCAACUCAGCAAAGAUUUUGAACUCAAAGCUAGUCAAGAGGUUUAGUGACUAGGCAGAAAUAUGCAGAAGAGAUGUAUAGGCUUCUGAAGCUGUACUGUACGCUGAGAACCAACAAGACACGGAAGACUGGCAUUUCCUUUGUUGGAAAAGGAAACAGUUCCGAGGCUGAUCCACGCGUUGGCCUUAGGUAAAUGAGAUGUGCUUCCCGCAACUACCUAAGGGUAAGAAUUUAGCUAGGAAAUCCUAAUCUUCAGUGACAUAUGUGAUGGCGAAAAGCAAUGAAACAUCCUUCUGCUUGGUGAUGGGUGAAGCCCUAAAGAUUCAAUCUGGUCUUGAUGAACAUCCAAGAAUCUGGAUGCCCGCACCCCGCUGAGGCAGGGGCUUCUGCCAAUGACGCCGUCUCUGUUUCUUAGAACUCCCACUGUUUGACCUUGGUUACCGCCAUCGUUUUGCUUCUGGAGUCACAGGAGCCUCUCAGCAAGCCUGCCAGGACACUUUUGAGUUCCUCAAAACUCCGGUAGAGCUGAUAAGCAUAAUUGAACAGGAAGCCGCCAACCUCACCAUCUACCAUGUGCAUCCAGAAAACAACAUGUCCAUCCACAGGCCAUGUGUCCAACCUUCUCACCCAGGACCUGAGCUGGAAUCAAACUGGCAAUAUUUAGGAUAAAGUGAUUCUUGCACUAAACUUAACUUGAUCAACCCACGCUUACUGCAGGAGGUAGGCUCAGCCAGACCAGGGGUUGCCUGGCACAUCUAGGCAAGGCAGAUGAGCUGGGCAGCCCCAACAUCCCUGUGAAAUACCCAUGGUCUCAUAGACACACUGGCAGGGGUAUUGGGGGGCAGAGUGAGGGGGAUUCUUCCAAACCCAGAUGACCCAGUCUCUUCCAGUGUAGGGAACUGCUGUUUGACCAUUGGGUCACAUACUUUGUAAGACUCUUCUGCCAAAGUUUCCUCUGGCCCAGGAAAGACUCGCUAGCCCAUCCUUAAAGGAGAACCUUGAAGAUGUAACUUACUCUCAGACUUCACAACACUUGACCUGUGCAGCCGACCCUGCAGAUCCAGGCUGGGAGAUGCUAUCUCUCUGGGAGGGCUGUCAUGACCACAGGGAUUUCUGGGAGUCCAACCCACUGGAUCCUUGGGAACAGUCACAUUCUACCCCUGACCUGCCCCCGUGUUGACACAGAUCUGUGACCUUUCUUAUGCUGCCAUUCAGCCAGGAGACCCAGCUUCUGGUGCACAGGUGACUGGGUUUAUGUGGGCCAGGAGCUCACUGCUCAGACUAGGACUAGAGCCCGAGAGCCCUCCAGGGAGACCCUGGCCUGCCAUCCAAAUGCGCCAGCAUCAGUGAAGAGUUUAUAGUAUAAAAGGGGUGCAGAAGCUGCCCUAAAAGAUUAUGGCUGCAGCAUUUCCUCCUCCUGCCCCCACAGCCAGAGUAGACUGACCUCUCAGCAAGAUGAAGAACCACCUUGAUCUCUGCCUGGGAGUUACAGCUAUGCAAGUGCAAUCCGUUUUUCAGUAAGGUGUGUCUUUGUUCCCACUGAGCCCCCGGUACCUGCUGUAAUCAACCUGGCAGGAUUCUCCAAGGCUCAGACCAACCUUGCGACCAGGCUUUGGCAGGUCAAAUCUUGUUACAAAGCCAUUGUGGAUAGGCUCUUAGGAAGCUCCCC